AUGGAUGUGCCGCCGGUUUGGACAGCCGCCCGGGUCCGGGAGGAUUUCAUCAACUUCUUCGAGUCCAAGUCGCAGUCGCAGUCGCACACGCCAUGGCCGUCGAGCCGCGAGGUGCCCGUCUACGACCCCGCGAUCUUGUUCGCCAACGCCGGGAUGAACCCGUUCAAGCCGGCAUUCCUCGGCACCGCCGCCCCGGAUUCGCAGUUUGGCCGCCUGCGCCGCGCCUGCAACACCCAGAAGCGCAUCCGUGCCGAAGCACAACGACCUCGACGACGUGGGGAAGGAGGAGGCCGCCGUCGGAUUAUGGAUCGGUAA
rnacentral:rRNA from 1 species